CCUGCCCAGUGACUUUGUUCAACGGCCGCGGUAUCCUAACCGUGCGAAGGUAGCGUAAUCACUUGUUCUUUAAAUGAGGACUAGUAUGAAUGGCACCACGAGGGUUACACUGUCUCCUUUUUCUAAUCAGUGAAACUAAUCUCCCCGUGAAGAAGCGGGGAUAAGCAUAUAAGACGAGAAGACCCUAUGGAGCUUUAAACUUAAUAACACUUGCCUUUUAAUAUUAAUACCCCAGAGUACCAAACACCUAUAAUGGCCUAUUGAUUAUUAGUUUUAGGUUGGGGUGACCGCGGAGCAAAAAACAACCUCCGCAUUGAAUGGGGAACACCCCCUGAGCCAUGAGCCACAACUCUCUGCACCAAUAAAUUGACAUUCAUUGACCCAAUAUAUUGAUCAACGAACCAAGUUACCCUGGGGAUAACAGCGCAAUCCGCCUUAAGAGCCCCUAUCGACAGGCGGGUUUACGACCUCGAUGUUGGAUCAGGGUAUCCCAGUGGUGCAGCCGCUACUAAAGGUUCGUUUGUUCAACGAUUAAAACCCU
rnacentral:rRNA from 1 species